GAUGAACGCUAGCGGGAGGCUUAACACAUGCAAGUCGAGGGGCAGCACGAGGUAGCAAUACUUUGGUGGCGACCGGCGCACGGGUGAGUAACGCGUAUGCAACCUACCCUGUACAGGGGGAUAACCCGGAGAAAUUCGGACUAAUACCCCAUAAAGAUAUUUAGAGGCAUCUUUGAAUAUUUAAAGUUCCGGCGGUACGGGAUGGGCAUGCGUAACAUUAGCUAGUUGGUAAGGUAACGGCUUACCAAGGCAACGAUGUUUAGGGGUCCUGGGAGGGUGAUCCCCCACAAUGGUACUGACUAACGGACCAGACUCCUACGGGGGGGAGCAGUGAGGAAUAUUGGUCAAUGGGCCAAAGCCUGAACCAGCCAUCCCGCGUGAAGGGAGAAUGCGCUAUGCGUUGUAAACUUCUUUUACAGGGGAAUAAAAUUUUGUACGUGUACGGAAUUGAAGGUACCCUGGGAAUAAGCAUCGGCUAACUCCGUGCCAGCAGCCGCCGUAAAAC
rnacentral:rRNA from 1 species